UUCCGUAGGUGACCUGCGGAAGGAUCAUUAUUGAAUAAACUGUGGGCGCUGUGCUGGCCUUUCGGGGUAAUGUGCACGCGUUCGCUUUUUUGCUUAAAUCUCUUGUGAACCAGUGUAGUCGUUUUGUUGGGUUUUUCGAGCGUUGCUUGUUGGAAGCUGGAGAGCAAUCUCUGGUGGAAUUAGGGCAUUCAAUCGAUUAGCUUUGUAGCAGGCAAGACGACUAUGAUUUUUAUAUACCCAAAUCAAGUCUUAGAAUGUUUUUUUUAUUGGCCGUAAAACGUCAGUAGAACCAAAUACAACUUUCAGCAACGGAUCUCUUGGCUCUCCCAUCGAUGAAGAACGCAGCGAAAUGCGAUAAGUAAUGUGAAUUGCAGAAUUCAGUGAAUCAUCGAAUCUUUGAACGCACCUUGCGCCCUUUGGUAUUCCGAAGGGCAUGCCUGUUUGAGUGUCAUUAAAUUCUCAACCUUGAGCCAGUUUGCGCUGGCCUUCAAGGCUUGGAUGUGAGGGCUUUGCUGGCUUCCUUCAGUGGAUGGUCUGCUCCCUUUAAAUGCAUUAGUGGGAUCCUUUGUGGACGGUCACUUGGUGUGAUAAUUAUCUGCGCCUCGUACUGUGAAGCAAAACUUGUGGGAACCCGCUCAUAACCGUCCGAAAGGACAAUUUAUUGACCAUUUGACCUCAAAUCAGGUAGGACUACCCGCUGAACUUAAGCAUAUCAAUAAGCGGAGGAAAAGAAACUAACAAGGAUUCCCCUAGUAACUGCGAGUGAAGCGGGAAAAGCUCAAAUUUAAAAUCUGGCGGCCU
rnacentral:rRNA from 1 species